rnacentral:rRNA from 3 species
GGUUAAGCGACUAAGCGUACACGGUGGAUGCCCUGGCAGUCAGAGGCGAUGAAGGACGUGCUAAUCUGCGAUAAGCGUCGGUAAGGUGAUAUGAACCGUUAUAACCGGCGAUUUCCGAAUGGGGAAACCCAGUGUGAUUCGUCACACUAUCAUUAACUGAAUCCAUAGGUUAAUGAGGCGAACCGGGGGAACUGAAACAUCUAAGUACCCCGAGGAAAAGAAAUCAACCGAGAUUCCCCCAGUAGCGGCGAGCGAACGGGGAGCAGCCCAGAGCCUGAAUCAGUGUGUGUGUUAGUGGAAGCGUCUGGAAAGGCGUGCGAUACAGGGUGACAGCCCCGUACACAAAAAUGCACAUACUGUGAGCUCGAUGAGUAGGGCGGGACACGUGGUAUCCUGUCUGAAUAUGGGGGGACCAUCCUCCAAGGCUAAAUACUCCUGACUGACCGAUAGUGAACCAGUACCGUGAGGGAAAGGCGAAAAGAACCCCGGCGAGGGGAGUGAAAAAGAACCUGAAACCGUGUACGUACAAGCAGUGGGAGCACGCUUAGGCGUGUGACUGCGUACCUUUUGUAUAAUGGGUCAGCGACUUAUAUUCUGUAGCAAGGUUAACCGAAUAGGGGAGCCGAAGGGAAACCGAGUCUUAACUGGGCGUUAAGUUGCAGGGUAUAGACCCGAAACCCGGUGAUCUAGCCAUGGGCAGGUUGAAGGUUGGGUAACACUAACUGGAGGACCGAACCGACUAAUGUUGAAAAAUUAGCGGAUGACUUGUGGCUGGGGGUGAAAGGCCAAUCAAACCGGGAGAUAGCUGGUUCUCCCCGAAAGCUAUUUAGGUAGCGCCUCGUGAAUUCAUCUCCGGGGGUAGAGCACUGUUUCGGCAAGGGGGUCAUCCCGACUUACCAACCCGAUGCAAACU